rnacentral:lncRNA from 1 species
UUUUAAUAAAAGUCCUAAGAGUAUGUAAAGUCCCUAAACAGUCCCUUUCAUUUUCUUCCAUGGGCCAUAAAUUGAGUCAGUUCUAUAAUGAGGCUGGACUGGCAAAGAAUCAGGCAGAUUUCCAGCAGGAAGGGGCGUCAGAUGGUACCAGAUCCAGAGGCCUCAUCUUCCAAAGAGGAAACAGGUUGAGACAUCCACGAAGGGAUUCAUGGGCAGUUCUGGAUCUGGAUCCGGAGAGGCAGUUUUUGCAAAGGCGGUUUCAAUUCAGUCCUGAGAAAGCGACCAGCACGGAUCCCACGAAAGCAGCAGGAGGAUGUGGGUCCCCAAUGGAGUGGAGGCCUGGAAAGAGGGGACAUGGGUGACGAGUCUUCGAUACUGGAAGGGCAGCCUACCUGAGAGGAGCUGUUGAGGCCCCAGCCAUGCCGCCCACAGUCGAGGGUGCCCUGCAGGCCUCUGGCCCCCAGGAAGGCAGGGCAGGAGUCCUGCAUCCUUGCCCAGCAUGGCGGCCAGAAAGGUGAGAGCCAGCAGCCGCGGGCAGAGCCACAGGCGCGCUGCAGAGCCCGCUCCCAGGGCUGGGUCGGGUUUUUAUUCUCUUCCCUCACACUCACCUCCAGUUCACUUUCUGAUUCAGAGAAUUGACGACGUGCACCUGCGCUGCCCCAUGCAGCUCUGCCGCCUCACUCUCCAUCCCCAGAGAUGCUCAGCCUUCGGCGUGGUGGCACACAGUGGGCUUCCAAUUGUUAAAAGAGGUUAAAGGUCACGGCAGUAACACCCAAGCCAGGGAUACAUGUGCAGCGGUAGGUUGCUCAUCUGGCCAUUAGCUGGAUGGACACACGAUGUGUGCUUACUGGAGGCAGGAGGCAGUGGACACAGGCACAUAGCCUGCCUCUCCGGACCGGCUCGGCGAGAUGCUUUCCUCACUUUAGGGCACGUACAACUCGGGGCAGUUCACGAGAGGGAGGCUCUUUUAAGUAAAUCCAGACGUAAUCGAUACAUUUUACUGAUGACUUAACAGAAAUUAUAUCAGAAAAAAUGGACAUUGUUGAAAUAAUUCCAAUUUAGGAAGGCCAUACUUUAUUUUUUUGGAGACAGGGCCUGAUUCUGUCACCCAGGCUGGAGUGCAAUGGUGCGAUCAUGGCUCAGCCUCAACCUCCCAGGCUCAGGUGAUUCUCCCACCUCAGCUUCCUGAGUAGCUAGGACUACAGGUGUGCGCCACCACACCUGGCUAAUUUUCUGUAUUUUUUUUGGUAGCUAGGUUGCCCAGGCUGGUCUCAAACUCCUGGGCUCAAGCAGUCCUCCCACCUCAGCUUCCCAAAGUGCUGGGAUGACAGGCAUGAGCCACCGUGCCCAGCCAGGCCAUACUUUAAAUAAGAUUUGUUAAAUAAAGUUUAUAGGAGGUGUCAUGAGCCGUGCAAGGUUGGAGAUAACCAGGUCCUUGCAUGUUUUGUCUUUCCACAGUGUCGGGCUUCUACUGAUGCUGCCUCAAUCACAAAAACCAUGAGCUCCAUGGAGUUCGUAAGGAGACAGUUCUCCUCACCACUUCCUGGAAACCAGGAGACAGGGAAUAGCCCCAAGCCAGCCAGGUCUUGCCAGCAUGAUGAGGAAGUCCCCUCUGCUGGAACCUUCCAAGGAAAACCUCUUGGAAAUGACCAAUCUGCUUUUUGUUCUGUGUCUGCCUCCUCAGCCCCUUUCUGUUUACAGAACCAACCUCCUCUACCCAGCACGCAGGAGCCCUCGUUCUGUUUUAUAGAAUGGGGUGUUUCCCAGUUCUAGAAUUGCAAAUAAAGCCAAGUUUGUGGUAAU